rnacentral:rRNA from 1 species
AUUGAACGCUGGCGGCAGGCCUAACACAUGCAAGUCGAGCGGACGAAGGGAGCUUGCUCCUGGAUUCAGCGGCGGACGGGUGAGUAAUGCCUAGGAAUCUGCCUUGUAGUGGGGGAUAACGUCCGGAAACGGGCGCUAAUACCGCAUGCGUCCUGAGGGAGAAAGUGGGGGAUCUUCGGACCUCACGCUAUCAGAUGAGCCUAGGUCGGAUUAGCUAGUUGGUGGGGGAAAGGCCUAACAAGGCGACGAUCCGUAACUGGUCUGAGAGGAUGAUCAGUCACACUGGAACUGAGACACGGUCCAGACUCCUAAGGGGGGGCGCAGUGGGGAAUAUUGGAGAAAGGGCGGAAGCCUGAUCCAGCCAUGGCGCGUGUGUGAAGAAGGUCCUCGGAUUGUAAAGCCCUUUAAGUUGGGAGGAAGGGAAGUAAGUUAAUACCUUGCUGUUUUGACGUUACCAAAAGAAUAAGCCCCGGCUAACUUCGUG